AUACUUAUUUUGCAUAGGAGAUACCAUGGUCAUGAAGAUUGUUCUCCCAGGGCAAGGCUCACCCAUUGCACUCUGGGUGUGCUACUCCUGCGGUUUCCCCAAAUGUUGGACACUUGACUGCAUAAUUUGUGUUUCACCUGGUCUGCUCUCGUAUAAUUCAGAU